rnacentral:rRNA from 1 species
UACGUAGGGUGCGAGCGUUAAUCGGAAUUACUGGGCGUACAGCGUGCGCAGGCGGUUUUGUAAGACAGGCGUGAAAUCCCCGGGCUCAACCUGGGAAUGGCGCUUGUGGACUGCAAAGCUGGAGUGCGGGCAGAGGGGGAUGAAUUCCGCGUGUAGCAGUGAAAUGCGUAGAUAUGCGGAGGAACACCGAUGGCGGAAGGCAAUCCCCUGGGCCUGCACUGACGCUCAUGCAC